rnacentral:misc_RNA from 1 species
GAGCUCAACUUCAACAUGAUUGGUAAGAAUACUCUCUCUCACUCCCUCCCCUCCUGAGUUUGGAUCUGAUCAGUAAUUGAUGUGUCAUCUUAUCUGAUAUAUGAAAAUGAUGAUUCUCUGAUCUGUUUUUUUACUUGGAAAUGGAGAAAGCUAAAGCUUAAAUAUUCAAUCAAGCUGUAUUCAUGAAAGCUACAUGUUGUUCAGAACCGCAGUGCAUCCCCCCCCUCCCCUCCAGACUAUUUUAUUAAUCAAACUAAAAACUAUAAUCAAGGUUUCAUAAUCAUCUUGCUUGUUUCUUUUUUUUAUUUUUUUCAUUUUUCUCUUUCAAGUUGGUUGUUAG